AAGGAAAAUGACCUCGUGUGACUCAAUAAGGCCUUACUUUCGAAAAACUAGUCAUGAACUAUGCCUCCGCUUCGAGAAACAUAUGAUGAACCGUGUCUUUGAUUUGUGAAACUUGUGUUGAACUAUGUACUUUAUUUGCGAAACUUGUGUUGAACUAUGUCGUCAACUAUGUCUUUGAUUUGUGAAGCUUGUGUUGAAACUAUGUCAUGAACUACAUCUGUUAUGAUGCUGUUUUUGUUGUCAAUUAGAAAUGAUGAACACGAUGGAAAACAGAGUAAAUUUUAGCUCUGCUUUGCACCCUACCCCCAGAAGCCCCGGCGGUAGGUUAUGACACCCUACCGCCAUAAGGCCUGGCGGUAGGCCACGAAUCCCAACAGCUAACCUACUAGAGCACAAAAUCUCCCCUGUUUUGCGGUAGGGUUGGCUAGCCUACCGCCAAGGGCAACGACGGUAGGGUGACCACCCAAACGGCUGCUCUGCCGUGACCAAAAUAUGCAUUUUUUGGCGGUAGGGUUGGCCACUCUACCGCCGUAGUCCCUGGCGGUAGGGUGGCCACCCAAACGGCUGAUCUGCUGCUUCUCCUGUGACCAAAAUAUGCAUUUUAGCGGUAGGGUUGGCCACGCUACCGCCAUAGCCUAUGGAGGUAGGGUUGGCCAUGCUACCGCCGUAGCCUGUGGCGGUAGGGUGCUGAUCCAUGUCCCACUUCACUUAUUUUAUAUGCUUUUCCUUUCCAUUUCUUACAAACUUCUAUGAACUAAGCAUCCACAAAUGACAUCCACAAAUGAUCGAGUAGCAAAGACAUAAAUAUCUGAGCAUAUAGUUCAUUACAUCCACAAAAUGACACUCUUCUAGCGAUUCAUGUCCCCCUUCUAACGAUUCGAAUGACAUAAGUUCAAACUACAAAUGAUCAAGUAGCAAAGACAUACAUAACUGAUCCAUGUCCCCCUUCUAGCGAUUCAAAUGACAUAAGUUCAAACUACAAAGCUCAAGCUCGAGCAUACAUUUUCUACUUCAGAAAGAAAGAUCUAAAACGCAUAAGACGUUCAAUUUGUGCGUCACGAUAUGAUUAGGCUUCAGUUGAUAAUCCGACGAUCCCGCCCAAUUCUCCAACACACAUUUCGUUUCGCUAAACUAGGCCCGUCGAGCACGGCGUUCCGGAAUCUCUGACUUGCCUUGUCUAAUUGCCCAUCCAAUGACCUGUCCGGGUUUUCUCAAGUCCAGCUCGCGGAAUUCUUCUAUGUUCACAGAGAAAAAGAUCUCCGUUGCCACAGAAUGUGUGCAAGCAUAUUCCUUCUCAUGCAGCUCAUUAAGUAUCUUCUAUUUUUCUUUCACAAGCCUACGAAAAACUUUUCUCUCCUUAAGAUCAGAAGGUUCCUCCAUGAAUGGAUAGUUGUUGAAAUCCAUCAUGGCAGCAAACUUCUCAUCAUUGCUCUUGAACCAUGCUUCAAGCUCCCUCUUGAUACCAAGUUCUCGCUCCGGUACAAUCUUCUCAGACGCUGCCGCCAAACUCUUAGAUGCAAUGCCACAACACUUCUCAUAUAAUUUCGUCAACUGCUCCAGGGUCAUGUUUUCCAUGCUACAUGAAAUGGAACAAACCAUAACUCAAAUCAAAUGAUACAAUACAAACACAAAGCAUAACUUAUUUAUAAUGACCUAGGUUACAUAAUGUUCUCACUGGUUCAAAUGACAUAGGUUGCAUAAAUGAUAAGGGUACAUGCCAUUACAGUCCAAAUGACACUACAACAUCAUUUUUUUCAACCCCCUCUACUACUCCAUCAACAAGACAUCUUUAUUGUACGGCCCGAGGUUGCAACAAAUGACAUCAUUUCUUUCACGGACCCAAGCCCAAUGAGUUACCCGACUAAGUAUCGCCGAUGAUGGUUGCCUAACUAGCCAAUCAAUGAUCUGGCCAGGGUUGUUAAAGUCCAUCUCAUUCACUUCAUCUCUUGUUCCACACAAUGCAAUUUGCCUUGCAAGAGCGCGUCUAUGAUUUUUCUCUUCAUUCUUGAGGUUGCUUAUGUUUUUCUCUUUAGCUUCGUAUAACUUAACUCUAGCAUCGUCGCACUUCGACACAUAAUACUUUGAAAAAUCUCUACAAGCUGCAUUCAAUGCAUCAACGGCUUUAACCCACAAGUCCAUCUUUUCCUCAAUGACUGCACGUUCACGCUUCGGCGCCGCCUCCGCGGAAGUCUCAACAAAGAUGAUCGAUCCCAUCCUACAAGUCGAGGGAUUACUGUAACGGUCAUCAAAGGCAAAAAUCCUAACCAUCUCUUGACAAAAACUAAGACCCUAGGAGUAGAUCGAGCUAUAAUUCGAGAGGUAACUACUCUAACAAAACCCUAACUAAACUAUAAUCAUAACGUUCGUCAUAUAGGCAUUUACUUAAGCAUAACCAUAACCAUAACCUUAACCCUAACAAAACCCUAAAUGAUAUUUCUUACUACCCAAACAAUGCUAGUGACACAAUACAUUGUCAAAGCACAAACAUUACCCUAAAUGCAUCAUUAAUUUCACCACAACAAAACCAUGAACUAGUGAUUCCAACAAAAUGAGCAAAAUGCAUGAUUUGAACCAACCAAAUGAAGGGGGGUGGGGGAGGUACCUUGGGUGAUGCAAAUGGCCUCGAUCCACUAGCCAAAUCUCAAGCAAUGAAGGGGGAUCUAAUGGGUGAUUUGGUGGGGGAGAAGAGGGGGAGAGAGCUUGAGCACGAAAGAAGAGUGGGGUGAAUGAGUGGGUGGGGGAGCAGCUCAGCCCCCUCCCUCCUCACAAUCUUAUCCAGGAACCUACCGCCAGACUGCCCGGCGGUAGGUUGCAAGAGCCUACUGCCAGCGGCGGUAGGUCCCUUUGCCACGUGUACACGGCCGUUAACGGAUAGACGGCGUCAGGCAACCUACUGCCAGGGUGGACGGCAGUAGCAUGUACAACUCUACCACCGGGGUCUACGGCGGUAGCAAAAGGGUCAAAUGUCAAAAAAAUUCAUAACGGGGUUAGAUCUCGAUUUUAUACGUGAAAAAGAUCAAAAUACGAAAUUUUGCCGCAUCGGCUCGGCUCGGGUCGACAUGGUCAUGAAGCAUCGCACGCGACGCACGGCACCAACAAAGAUUCCACAUGGAGUGCUCCCCCUGCCCCCAGUCUAGCACGCCAUGGCCAGAGAAGAAUCGCCUGCACACAUUGACGCUCCUUCAUUGCACCAUUAUUCCCUUUUGCUUUACCGCCUUAAAUCCCGCAAGUGCCGAUCCGCCGUCAGUCCCUGUCGCCGCCGCAGCGUCCAUCCAUCCUUUCUUUCUUUUCCCUCACGGCCUUAACCAGGAAUCAAUCAAAUCCCCUUUGAAUAAAAGAGAAAAAUAUUGGAGUAAUACCACCACGAACUAAUCAAUACUCUUGUGCCGAUCCCACUGGUGGGGGCCCCGCGGCCACCAUUAGUACAGCCAACGAUGAACCAGCCCUCUGACUGGCUGGGCCCUAUCCUGGGGAUCGACCGAAGCAGCCGCGCCGCGCCGUUCCGAGGCAGCCCCGCACGGACGGGAAUGUGACGGGACAGGAAACAAACAGGCGAUCCAUCUGGUCCAUUCCCCUCCACACUCCACCGGCCCGAGGAAUCCGAGGCCGAUCCCACCGAAACCCCCAAACCAAAGCCGGCCGCCGCCGCGCCGGACCUCUCUCUCCCCGCCGCCGGCACCGGCAGCGGCGGCCGUCGACCGCGUACCCGGACCGCGCAGGGGAAUCCGAGCGUGUGGCCCCACGUGGCAGGCAGGAGGACUGACGAAUCGUACCUUUUCUUUCCGCGGUUGGACUAGGGAGGGAGUGGUGGGGCCCUGGGAAGCAGGCUUUCGGGCGACCAUUGGAUCGACCAACACACAGGGAUUAAAAGCGCUCAUAAUUGUUUUAUUUUUGCUCUACUAGUACCGCUUUUACUACCGUGACGAGCUUCUUUUCUCCGGUGUGAUGCUUGUGCCCCCCGCCGGUUUGUUUAAUUGCGUUUGGUCCUUUGGCGACCGGGCGGUGGUUGCAAAGCGUACGCUGAGAAUGCUCCACACAAUGAUGGCCGUGCCCAGUGCCCAGCCUAUAUGUAAUCCAAAAUGUAGCCUUCAGACAGCCGUGCGUCCUCCUCGGAUGAAUCCUUCUCGGAUGAAUGAUAAAUUGUAGCAAUAAUUUGUUUAAAAAUAUUAAAUUUUUGACAUAUAUUAUAAUACUGGUGAAAUGUUGUUUUUCCCAAGCUUUUUAGAACACAUUUUUCGGCCAAGGUAACGAAUGACAUUUUCUUCACAAGAAUCUGCACUCAGAUGGAAAUCACAAACAUGGUUGUUGUGAAAAAAAUAGUUUUUAUUUUUAAACCUAUUUAUUUUGUUAAAAAGUAUUGGGUGGCAUGCCGAAAUCGUAGGGUACCUCACUAUUUAGCACGAAUAUUCCUAUAUUCUAAUAUAAAGAUAAUCAAUUACCGAGUGGCCACACACUUGGAAUACCGUGAGAACAUUUGGGCUAUGUAAGUUGCAAUGAAGAGCAGGGAGGGGUAAUGAACAGGAGAAGAAAAGGUGGAUAACAAAAGAACUAGCCAGAGAGGUUAACAAGAGUCAUACUGGUAAUGUAGCUCCCCGGCGACUUUGUAUGUACGCCUGACCGGAGUUGUGUCACCUUUGUCUUGAUGCUAGUGACGUGAGAUGUGUAAGAAGACGAAGAUUGUGGAAUAGUAGCGACAGAUGACGACGAAGUCAUAGGCGAGCGCAGGAUGCUGAAGACAGAAGAAACAAAUAGCGCGAAGAGCAGAAAACACACAAACAGACACUAGAAUCCCCACGCAUAGAUUUUUUUUAAGUGAAAAGCACCGCGCAUAGAUGAUGUGAUGAAGAUGAGUGACAUGAUAAAGAAGGUGAAGUGGUCCCAUGUCGCUCUGCCGCUAAGUCCAUGGAGCUAACCAUCGCUCCGUACUCCUAAUCCCGUGAUAUUCGCAUGUUGGCACGCCAACAACCUGUCAUUUAUUUUUGAGACACAACAUAGAUAGUUUGUUGUACAGUUUAGGUAUCCAUUAACUACGACAUUUGACUAAACGAGUGAGGAGUAUUAUUGGGCAAUCGGACACUAUAGGAUCCAAAGUACUUGCACUAAACCGGCGCGACAAAUUUUGUGUGUAUGAAAGUAGGAUUAACACAAUGAGAACGCGAGACAAGCAUAAGGUAAACAAUCAAUGAGAAGAUAACAUACCGACAUAAUAAAAAUAAAUAAAAAAUACAGUGACACAUUAACACAUCGCACUGUUCCUAAGCCAUAAGUGCAUGCAAAUACAUUCAACAUGUCCAACCACCAUUGCUAGUACCAGCAGCACAUGUACAUGCCACCACAGUACUCCUUGUAGUACGUACUUCGUUGAAAGGAGUCCAAAACAACCGCGUUGGUACAUUCGGCUGGCUGGCCGGCCCAUGUAAAGCUCCGGACGGCGUGUACGUAGCGAGUCCACCCAGGAGAUAAAAUGGAAGGCAUCACGAGGGGAGGGAUAGAUAAAAAGAUGGCCCGUUUUGCAAGGUUCGGAAAGGAGGUUGGGUGGUACUACUACUGUCCUCGAGUAUUUUUAACACUUGGUGUCUGUUACUUUCUCUCUCUCCCCCACCGGGAAGCAAAGCCAAGGGUGGACAGAUUCUCCCCCAAGUCCCAAUCCCUAAACAAAGCCCAUCCAUUACUCUAAACAAACCGGACCGAGGAGAGAGAAAUACUACAUAAAAACCAAUCGUCCUCAUGAUAACUGUCCCAUAGGAAAUCCGAUCCCCCGGAAUAAUUAUACCAUAUCAUAGCAUAGCAUAGCAUAGCACAGCAGCACACUUGGAAUCGGAAUUGGAAAGAGAGAAAAACGUAGUAGUACCACGAGUCGUCCAGUUCCACACCGGAACCGUGAGAGGGACAGCAGCCGGUGGCGAUGCGUUGGCAGGGGAGGGAGGGGGGGAAUGGUAUAAUAAUACGGGGAGAUGUCUGGGUUGGUGAUUGAUGAGAGAGAAAGCCGGGGGAGAGGGACAGGGCGGGUGAUGGGGAGGAUCAGCAUCAGGGGGGAGAGGGAGAGGGAGAGAGAAUAUCAGAUGUCAACAAAUCUGCCGUCCUUGCGGCUCGUUUAGAAAGAGGGUCCAAGGUGGUUCCAUUCCCAUCCCCCCCCAGAGGAGAGAGGAGAGAGAGAGGCCAGGCCAAACGACGCCAAUCCAAAACCCCCAAAAGGAGCAAGGGAAGAGAGAGAGAGAGAGUGGGGAGUGAGGAGCAGAGAGAGAGCAAACCAAGAUACUCCUACAUCCGCAGACAAGUGGUUCGUUCGUUCGUUCGGGGACGAGGACGAGGACGAGAACGAGAACCCACCGCUUUCUCUCCCUCUUCCUCGCCCUCCCUGGCCCGGCCCCAGCAAAUCCGGUUCCGGCCGAACCCGUCCCGGAUUCGUCGGAGCUCCCAGCGUCCUCCUCCCCGAUCGCCCCCCCUGCCGCCGCCAGAGAGAUUUGCCUCUUUUUUCUAGGACAUAUAGAUAGAUAAAUAAAUAUCCUGCCUUGGUUGGGUUGGGUUGGGCGGGUUCUUGGGCGGCGCGGGGUUUCUUGGGGCAUGGCCGUGGCGGCGGUGCCGGACACGACGCUCGCCCGCCGAAUGCUGCGGGUCGUCAGGCUCAACCCGCUGCAGCGCAGCGCCAAGAAUCCCUGAGGUCAGAAUUUCCUCUCUUUGUACUAGCUGGUCUGGUUCAAUUAAUUAAUUCUGCUCGCGCGCUGUCUGGAUCGUCGAAUCGAGCUAGCACAAUCGAAAGGAGCGGUGUUGAUUUGCUUUCCCGACGUGUUGGAGCUCCAAUCCGGGGGCACCUGGGGGGAUUGGAGCUCCGAUUUCGGACGAAUUUCUCUCUGCCCGACGCCCCUGUCGCUGUCGCCGUCGCCGUCACUGUCUCUUCGUCCGCUCCUGGCCUCCGCCCGACGUCCAGAUCCGGCCGCCCUCCACGCGACACAUCGGCCUCGGCCACCGGCGCCGCCUCCUGCUCAUUGCCGCCCUCCUCCUGUUGUCUAGAUCCGGACGCCUGCCGUCCGUCGCCAUCCGUUCUUCGCUUUCCUCUUUGUACUCCAGGUGUCUGGCUCGACUUUGGCGUCCAGAUCCACUUCCCCUUCUAUUCCCACCUCCGUGCCUGUAGCUACCAUUGUCAGUUCGUCGUGCGAUUGCCUCAGUUUCCCCGUGCGUGCUUGCUCAAGUAUGCUUGCCCAUCUCUGGCCUUUAUUUACAGUUCUUAUCAUCCAAACUGGAGUUGGAAAUGGGUUAAUCUUCUAUUUCCAAGACACUUCGUAAUUCUCCCCUUUCUGAACAAACUGGAAUUUUCCUUGGUGAAACCAAACAUAAAACUUCGAAGUGGACGCAAAUUCCAGUUCAACUGAAAUUGGAAUUGGGACUCUUUGUGUUAUAACUUGUUUGUUGUAAUUUAUUUUGGGCCUUUUAUUAGGUUCCGGGGUUCUUAUUUUCUGUUUUGGUGAUUAGGUCUGUGUGACGUUUCAGUUGGAUUGAACGUGAGAAGUCAAUGAUUGCAUCGGAUGGCCAUAGGUUUCUAUUUUCCACGUUUGGUAAAGAUGAUGAUAUAUCUCUUUAAAAGAACUAGUCCUUAGGAUUUUAUUAAGUUGGUUGAACUAUCGCCGGUUGACUCGUCUUCUCUCCUUUAGUUAUUUCCCGCCCGAUGAAUUUAGAAACAAACAGGUGAAGUGCAUAUUCUAUGCCAUUAUGUGAAUACAGUAUAUAUUAAAAAAUUAGGCCUUUGGUGUUGUUUACUCUGUUGCUGUCUAGGUUUGUUUGAUUAUCGUAGGGGUAGUGAGUUUUUGUCAUGCAUUUUAUCCAUGAUACAUGUAGCAUCUUAUUUCCCAGAUCCUUUGUUAUUACUCACUGCAGUAUUUAUUGGCAGGUUAUUUCUCUUGAAGUGAUAUUCAGAUUGGAAGGUAGUAUUGAUUCACCUGAGCAAGUCAAGCUGUCCAGUUAGCUCAAAGCAUUAAAGAUUGGAAUUUCACACGCGCAUUGCAUUCACACUGUGAUUUCCCUUUGGUGUCCUGUGAUGUGAUGAUCAGUGCUGGUUGCCGUCCGGGUCAAGGGGAAUUUUAGCAUGAUUGCUACAUGCUCAUUGUUUUGGUAAUUUAUCAAUGGAACCCCUAAAUCCUUAGUUGUUUUUGUUUUUGUAAAUCUCUGUUUGAUAUUACUUACUCAGAUGCUAGAUUCUUAGCUCUUCUCAACUUGCUCCCAUGCUCUUAAGUAAAAUAUCUUGCCGAGGAUCUUAAAAGCACUAUCAAAAUUUGUCUGCACUGUGUUAUUUGUUUGGGUGUUGCACUUGGAAAAACCAUUCAACAAGCAGUAUGCUGUACGCUACUUGCUUUCAAGCUUGAAUUUGAUGUAAAAAAAUGUGUUUUCACAUUAUGAUUGUCAACAUGCAAAUGAGGAAAUAAAGUUGCAACAUCUAGUUGACUUUGAUGUUUCUCUUGUAAGCUCAACUUGAUCUUUUUGUUUCUUGUUCAAGGCUUCAAGCAAUGAAUAAUGCAUGUUUGUUAUUUGAAAUAUUUGGGGCUGCUAUUCCAAAAGCUUUACCUUUCGCACCCCACUUUUGUAUAUAAUUCAGCAUCAUUUGACUGGUCUGUUCAACAGACUGUAAUACUAAUGGGAGCUAAAGUGGAAGGUGAGAGUUACAAUCCUGGAUACUAUGCUACAGGGGAUCUGCACAUGGACUCAAAUGGUUGGCGCUCUCCAUACUAUGAGGAUAAGACAUCAAAUGGGCAGUUGUACAAUGGCUUCAUGACGAAGCAGGCAGACGGUUAUUCAGAAUACGACAACGAAACGCUAAAGCGCACAAUGCUUUCACAUGAAGCUAUGUUUAGACAGCAGGUUGGUACCUUGGCAUUAACUACGUAAACAUCUUAAUGCAUGACACGUUACGAAAAGUAUAAACUGCAGGCACACAGCCGAUAUUUUCACUUCCCAUUUUGUGUUUUUCUUUCUCUUAUCUUGUUAACUGAUCAACUGAAAUCAUUAUCCAGGUUUAUGAACUGCACCGGGUUUACAAAAUACAGAGAGACCUGAUGAAGCAUUAUGAAAACAAAGACGCAUAUGCAUACCCAGAACUGGCAGAUGCAUCACAGACAAAUUCGUCAUCACAAGUUCCACCAAAUGGCUCAAAGAUGAUAUGGCAGAUGCCUCUGGUGGCCAAAACAUACGGAGAGGCUACUGUUGCAGUGCACACUGAUACAAACCACUCCUUGAAGUUCCUUAGUGAUGGCAGUGUCCUGCCCUCUCCAAAUGGAUUCCCCUCAAAUGGUGUUGCUUUAAAUACCAAGCAAGGCAUUAUUGACCUUGAGCUUCCAGCUGAUCAUUAUAUAGAUGAUGACAACACAUCAGAUAAUAAGCCUAUAGAUUUCCUUGGUGUAGAUUCGGGUACAAAACCUCCGAAUGAUGCCAGGGUCACAUUCAGUGGUGCAGAAGGCCUGGGGAGGUUCAAUGAUAAUAGCUCAACCUCUGGUUUGCUGACUACCAAUAAACCGGGAGGCUGCCAUGUCGCUGACCUGAAUGAGCCAAUUACUGGGAUGCAUAUGGGUGGAACAAACGGGUCCGUAUCCAGAGCUCUCCUGUAUACCUUGGAGAACUCUUGGCACCAAUCUGCAGUGAGAUCAAGCACAGCUAACUUUGGUUUCAAUAAAGAAUACUCCAAAGAGAAGCAUACUGACGAAGGAACAAGCUCAAAUUUCCUUGAUGCAAGUGCCAAACUAAGACAGGAGGAGAAAUCAUUGAUUGAUAAAGGUAAGGAUAAGCUUCACUUAGAACACCUUUAUUUGCUUCUUUCCUUGUCAUGCUUAUCUUUCUAUGUUUACACAAUAAAUAUCACUAGUACAUGUAUUUACUAUAUCGGUCGACCAAAAAGUCAUUUUGCAUUAAGAGGUAAGGGUUCACUAUGGAAUUUUGGGGGGAUAUAUGGUUACAACCUACCAUCUGUUAUGUGACUUGGAUUUCAUGCCCUCCUAGUACCUAUUAAUACGUAUUAGACAUAGCAUUUCAACUGCAUGUGAAGGUUUUUUCUGUCGCAGUGCAUGUAGAACUCGCUUCCCUUAGCUGUGCAUGUUCCAUAUAUGUUUCCGACCAUUCUUUUUCUUUUUCUAUUUAUGCAUGAUGUGGCAGUGGACUACAUUAUUAUUAUUAUCUUGAGUACUUUAUUCUAUGCUGUUUAUAACCAAUCUGUAGUUCUGUACAAAUCUUGCAUAUUUGGUUACUGCUCUGUACUUGCAGUGUCCUUGAUCCGCUAUAUUGCUUUAAUUCUUUCAGGAAAACAAGUCAGCAACCAAUCUUUUUUUACACCCAGAUACAGCAAUGUUGAUCUGCAAAAAUCCUUCAAAGUUGCUGAUGGGAGAUCUGCAACCAAUGAGUUUAUUUACCAUGGUCAAAACAGUUCAGUUGGAUGGUUUUCAAAAGGUCCUAUGGGAGCAUCUCCCAUCAAUAAUUUUGCUAGACUUGACCAUCCACAUCAUUCAAGUAUUGGUACACCUGUUGCUCCAAUCUCCAUUCCUCACAUAGACCAUCCUUCCGUCGCCUCUCCUAUAGGUUCUUGCACAGUGGACCCAAGGAGCAGUGUUAUCAACAAUGCUUUCCAGCGAGUUCCAAGUUUCAAUGGAUCUUCAACUGUUAAUUCAUACAAGAGUCCUAGUGCUGUGACCCAAAGCAUUGGACCUUCAAUUCAUAAGCUGAAAAGAUUUGAUAAUUUGGAUGGUAGUUACUUUGGCUUUCCACCUGAUCCAUUUUCCGCAUCACGAUCCAGACAACAGGUUGCAAUUUCGAGCGAGUUGGAGCAAAGGAACUGCCUGAUGUUUGAACAUUCAGCAGCACGGCAGUCUCAUGGGUAUCCUCAGUCCACAAACGGCAAGGGCACAAAGAACUUUAAUUUGAAUGAAGCACUGUCAGAUGGUCUGGAAGAGCUUGUAGAACAGGAUGGGAGAUCUGUUGGUAGUUUGCAGCAUAGUAAAGGUGAAGGAUCAGUAUUUGGGAUCUCUUGGCUAAAAAAUAAAGCUACUUGUGCUGACCCAACAGGGCUGGAAAAGCAAAGAAAGAUGCUUGGCCAUUCCAACGGGACUGCAGCAGACACGAAAAUCAACAAUAACUUGACGGGAAUAACACCGAUUGUUUGCAAUUUGUCAGAUUCUGCCUCAACGUCCCUAGGUUGCAGAAUUAAGAUAGAUGAUGCUUCUGAAGGCAUCACUGAUAGAACUUGGCUGGUAUGUAAUAAGACUGAGGAGAGUACCACGAGACAUUUACCACUUUCAAGCCAGAAACCCUUGGAUAGAGAUGGACAAGCUGCUGAAGGUGUUGUCAACAAAAGUGGUGCGGCCGUCGUCAGAAAUUUGUUUGAUCUGAAUGAUGAUGUACCACAUGAAGACAACUCAGAGUCAUCAGUAGUGUCACAUGAAUGUGAUGUGGCGGCCUUACAGAACAACCAUGCUAAGCGCACAUUUUUGUUUGACUUAGAAGAAGUGCCAGCUUGUGAAGAUGGUGCUGCCUGGACUUCUCAACAGGAAUGCACACCUUCUGGCAAACUUGGUGCAUCCAAGGAAGUUGAUUUGUGUUUUCCAUCCGCUACAGAUGCAGCGCAGAUUAUUCUUGCGUUGUCAACGGAUGUGCCGACCACCACAGGCACACCCGAUGAUAUGUUGCAGUGGUUUGCGGAGCUCGCAAUAUCAAACAUGGAUGACCAUGCCGAGCAAGCAAAAGUCCAGGGUUGCAUCGAUAAUUCCAGUGAUGAUGGUUCAGACUCAUUUGAAGCCUUGACACUGAAGCUGGAAGAGUGCAAGACCGAUGAGCGCUGGACCAGGACACCAGAACCACCACUGACAGAUGAUGACCAAGCUGUUUCAGCGGUGAACCUGCUGUCCAAGCCAAAAAGAGGACCGCAAAGGAAGCGGCGGCAGAAGCGAGACUUCCAGAAGGACAUCUUGCCCGGGCUUUCAUCGCUUUCCCGGCCUAAGAUCAUAGAGGACAUUCAGCUAAUUGAGGGGUUAGUACAGGCAUCUGGUGGAUCAUGGGAGUCGAGUUUAACCAGGCGAGCGCGUGGUGGGCGAACAAGAGGUAGAAAGCCCCGCAAAAACGAGCCAGCUACCGUAGAGAUAGAAGCCGAGGCCGAGGCGAGCCCGCCCUCGAAACCCAACUCCAUUGGCUUAGAAGCUGAUGAAAGGGGCAUGGUUAGCUGGGGGCGAACAACAAGGCGGUGUCGCAAGCCAAGAUGCCCGUUGGGCAAUAGCGUCGCCGCUUCGUCCUGAACGACCUCUGAUACUGGUCGGUUUCGGAUUCAGAUUCUCCAUCAGAGAUUGCGGUGGACUGGUAUAAAGGUAAAAAAAAAUAUCACAGCCAUGAGUGUGCAUACUCUGCUGGCCUGUUUGGCCGGCCUCCCCCCUGCAGAGAUUUCAGGUCGAAACAUGGUGUACAUUUUUUUCUAUAAUAAAUUCUUAAACUAGUCUAUAUAUGACAAUUUCUGUAACAGCGUUGUAUUAAGCUGGGUCCAGGGCCUGAGCUGAGAGGCCUGCUGUAAUUCUUGAGAUAGUGGCGAGGUACCUUGACUGGCCGGUACUCGGAAAUCAAAGAGGCUAAUCGGUGUAGUUCUAUAUAGUUUUAUCAUGUUUUGUUUUGUGUUUCUGUAUGUAAGUUUCUGUGUUUCUGUAUGUAA
rnacentral:lncRNA from 1 species